CCUACGGGUGGCAGCAGUGAGGAAUAUUGGUCAAUGGGCGCAAGCCUGAACCAGCCAAGUCGCGUGAGGGAUGACGGUCCUAUGGGUUGUAAACCUCUUUUGUCGGGGAGCAAGGCCCGCCACGUGUGGCGGGCAGGAUGGUACCCGAAGACAAAGCAUCGGCUAACUCCGUUCCAGCAGCCGCGGUAAUACGGAGGAUGCGAGCGUUUUCCGGUUUUAUUGGGGUUAAAGGGUGCGUAGGCGGCAGGUUAUGUCAGUGGUAAAAUGUUGGUGCUCAACACCGGCCUGCCGUUGGAACUGGACGUCUGGAGUGAGCGAGAAGUAUGCGGAAUGCGUGGUGUAGCGGUGAAAUGCGUAGAGAUCACGCAGAACUCCGAUUGCGAAGGCAGCAUACCGGCGCGCAACUGACGCUGAGGCACGAAAGCGUGGGGAUCGAACAGGAUUAGAUACCCGUGUAGGC
rnacentral:rRNA from 1 species